UACGGAGGGUGCAAGCGUUUAUCCGGAUUCACUGGGUUUAAAGGGUGCGUAGGAGGGCAGGUAAGUCAGUGGUGAAAUCUCCGAGCUUAACUUGGAAACUGCCGUUGAUACUAUCUGCCUUGAAUAUUGUGGAGGUGAGCGGAAUAUGUCAUGUAGCGGUGAAAUGCUUAGAUAUGACAUAGAACACCAAUUGCGAAGGCAGCUUACUACGGAUAUAUUGACACUGAGGCACGAAAGCGUGGGGAUCAAACAGG
rnacentral:rRNA from 1 species